rnacentral:rRNA from 1 species
UACGUAGGGUGCGAGCGUUGUCCGGAAUUAUUGGGCGUAAAGGGCUCGUAGGCGGUUUGUCGCGUCGGGAGUGAAAUCCACUGGCUUAACUGGUGGCUUGCUUUCGAUACGGGCAGACUGGAGGUAUGCAGGGGAGAACGGAAUUCCUGGUGUAGCGGUGAAAUGCGCAGAUAUCAGGAGGAACACCGGUGGCGAAGGCGGUCUCUGGGC